rnacentral:rRNA from 1 species
CCUACGGGAGGCAGCAGUGGGGAAUAUUGGACAAUGGGCGCAAGCCUGAUCCAGCCAUGCCGCGUGAGUGAUGAAGGCCUUAGGGUUGUAAAGCUCUUUUGUCCGGGACGCGGUACCGGAAGAAUAAGCCCCGGCUAACUUCGUGCCAGCAGCCGCGGUAAUACGAAGGGGGCUAGCGUUGCUCGGAAUCACUGGGCGUAAAGGGCGCGUAGGCGGCCAUUCAAGUCGGGGGUGAAAGCCUGUGGCUCAACCACAGAAUUGCCUUCGAUACUGUUUGGCUUGAGUAUGGUAGAGGUUGGUGGAACUGCGAGUGUAGAGGUGAAAUUCGUAGAUAUUCGCAAGAACACCGGUGGCGAAGGCGGCCAACUGGACCAUCUGACGCUGAGGCGCGAAAGCGUGGGGAGCAAACAGGAUUAGAUACCCUUGUAGUC